rnacentral:lncRNA from 1 species
UAUACAUGCUUAGGAUCGUAUAGCGUUUAUCCAUCGGAUCCAUGGGUAAAUGAUAGAUAUUGUGUAGGCGUGGUGCUUAUACCGUAUUUAUCUGCGAUUGUACCCAAUAUGCCAGAUCGUGGGGUAGUUCGUGAUAGUGACAGCUUCAUUGAUUCUUAUAUAGUCCCCUUCUCGUGUAUUGGGCUGGCAGAGCAACAUUAUUACAGGGGUGUGAUUGCUAUGUUUCUCAUAUUCCUUGCUAAUAUCACUAUGCAUGGGCG